GUAGUCAUAUGCUUGUCUCAAAGAUUAAGCCAUGCAUGUCUUAGUAUAAGCAAUUAUACCGCGAAACUGCGAAUGGCUCAUUAUAUAAGUUAUCGUUUAUUUGAUAGUACCUUGCUACUUGGAUAGCCGUGGUAAUUCUAGAGCUAAUACAUGCUAAAAAUCCCGACUUCGGAAGGGAUGUAUUUAUUAGAUUAAAAGCCAAUGCCCUCUGGGCUCUCUGGUGAUUCAUGAUAACUUCUCGAAUCGCAUGGCCUUGCGCCGGCGAUGGUUCAUUCAAAUUUCUUCCCUAUCAACUUUCGAUGUUUGGGUAUUGGCCAAACAUGGUUGCAACGGGUAACGGAGGGUUAGGGCUCGACCCCGGAGAAGGAGCCUGAGAAACGGCUACUACAUCCAAGGAAGGCAGCAGGCGCGCAAAUUACCCAAUCCCGACACGGGGAGGUAGUGACAAUAAAUACUGAUACAGGGCUCUUUUGGGUCUUGUAAUUGGAAUGAGUACAAUUUAAAUCCCUUAACGAGGAACAAUUGGAGGGCAAGUCUGGUGCCAGCAGCC
rnacentral:rRNA from 1 species